UCCGUAGGCGGUUUUGUAAGUCAGUGGUGAAAUCUGGUCGCUUAACGAUCAAACGGCCAUUGAUACUGCAGGACUUGAAUUACCAGGAAGUAACUAGAAUAUGUAGUGUAGCGGUGAAAUGCUUAGAUAUUACAUGGAAUACCAAUUGCGAAGGCAGGUUACUACUGGUUUAUUGACGCUGAUGGACGAAAGCGUGGGGAGCGAACA
rnacentral:rRNA from 1 species